UACAGAGGGUGCGAGCGUUAAUCGGAAUCACUGGGCGUAAAGGGAGCGUAGGCGGCGUGGUAAGUCAGAUGUGAAAUCCCGGGGCUCAACCCCGGAACUGCAUCCGAUACUGCCAUGCUAGAGGAUUGGAGAGGUAGCUGGAAUUCUUGGUGUAGCAGUGAAAUGCGUAGAGAUCAAGAGGAACACUCGUGGCGAAAGCGAGCUACUGGACAAUUCCUGACGCUGAGGCUCGAAGGCUAGGGUAGCGAAAGGG
rnacentral:rRNA from 1 species